rnacentral:tRNA from 1 species
GCCCGCUUGGUGGAACUGGUAGACACAGUAGACUUAAAAUCUGCCGAUCCUAGAUCGUGCCGGUUCGAGUCCGGCAGCGGGCACCA